UAAUACGAAGGUGGCGAGCGUUGUUCGGAAUCACUGGGCUUAAAGAGCACGUAGGCGGACUGCCAAGCGUCAUGUGAAAUCCCUCGGCUCAACCGAGGAACUGCUUGGCGAACUGGCAGUCUUGAGGCAGGUAUGGGUGUGUGGAACUCUUGGUGGAGCGGUGGAAUGCGUAGAUAUCAAGAGGAACGCCGGAGGUGAAGACGACGCACUGGGCCUGCUCUGACGCUGAGGUGCGAAAGCCAGGGGAGCGAACGGGAUUAGAUACCCCGGUAGUCCUGGCCCUAAACGAUGUCCACUAGGUCGACGGUUCUCUGACGGAUUAUCGGCCGAAACUAAAGCGAUAAGUGGACCGCCUGGGGAGUACGGUCGCAAGGCUA
rnacentral:rRNA from 1 species